GGACGAACGUUGGCGGCGUGCUUAAUACAUGCAAGUCAACUGAAGCAGAGGUAGUAAUAUCUCUGUGGAGGUGGCGCACGGGUGAGUAACACGUAGGUAAUCUGCCUUCAGGUCUGACAUAACCCCGAGAAAUCGGGGCUAAUAGCAGAUGAUGCAGCGGCUUGACAUCAAGACAGUUGUUAAAGCUUCGGCGCCUGAAGAUGAGCCUGGCGCUGAUUAGCUAGUUGGCGGAUAACAGCCCACCAAGGCUACGAUCAGUAGCUGGCCUGAGAGGAUGAUCAGCCACACUGGAACUGAGACACGGUCCAGACUCC
rnacentral:rRNA from 1 species